AUUGACCGCUGGCGGCAGGCCUAACACAUCCAAGUAGAACGAGUGGCGGACGGGUGAGUAAUGUCUGGGAAACUGCCUGAUGGAGGGGGCUAACUACUGGAAACGGUAGCUAAUACCACAUACCAUCGGAUGUGCCCAGAUGGGAUUAGCUCGUAGGUGGGGGAACGGCUCACCUAGGCGACGAUCCCUAGCUGGUCUGAGAGGAUGACCAGCCACACUGGAAUUGAGACACGGUCCAGACUCCUACGGGAGGCAGCAGUGGGGAAUAUUGCACAAGGGGCUCAAGCCUGAUGCAGCCAGGGCGGGUGUAUGAAGAAGGCCUUAGGGUUGUAAAGUACUUGCAGCGGGGAGGCUUAACCCGCAGAAGAAGCACCGGCUAACUCCGUGCCAGCCGCCGCGGUAAUAC
rnacentral:rRNA from 1 species